rnacentral:lncRNA from 1 species
AAACCUGUCAGGCCAGCUAGGUAGGCGCUGUGCUGUACUGGUGAGCUACAUCCCCAGCCAGAGAGUGACUACAGCAGAUGGGAAGAGAAUCAGGGAAGAGCGCUCAGCUUGAAGGGAGCCAAGGAAUUACUCUAAGAUCUGGCUCCAGAGCCAACCCACUGUACACUAAAGCUGUGUGAGCUCACUGAACUCAGCCUGACUUCUCUCAUCUGUCCCCGUGCCUACGGAGUUCUUAUCCAUAAACUCAGCCAUCCCUUAUGGGAAGGUAAAUGUUACUUCUGGAUAUUUUGAGACAUCUCAUAAUAGUUCUUAUUGACCUUGAACUCUACAUCCCCCAGACUGGCCCAGAACUGUCCAUCCUCCAGGUUGAGAUCAUACAUGCAUGUACACCACCGUACACAUCAGAGAUCGUUGAAUGGGGUAGGUUUUUAGUCUCAGAACUUGGAAGAUAGAGGCAGGCAUAUUUCUGUUAAGUCUAUGCCAGCCCGGUCUAUCUAGCAAGUACCUGGAUAGCCAGGCUUACAUAGUGAGACUGUCUCAAAAAAAAAAAAAAAAAAAAAAAAAAGAAAGAAAGAAAGAAAGAAAAGAAACACUUGAAAAAAAAGAAAUUGAUCAGUACUGAGUGUUGUGUUUUAUAAAAAAAAGAUAAAGAAAGGAGGAACAUGUUUUGCAGAGGUGUAGUCAGGUAAGAGGGGAGGGGGUGCCUCAGCUGGCCCAUGCUGAGUCAUCCCUGCCCCCUGAGGGACCAGCCACACAUAGUAUAGAAUAGAGAUUAUUCAGGGCAUGGCAAGGGAAGCUGAGAGGGUGGUAGAGACAGAGAAAGAGAGACUGAGAGAGAAGAGUAGAGGCCAGCCCCAUGAGCACGAGGAGGAAGGGAGGAGGGAAGGGGGCGAGCCGACAGAGUAGGAGCAAGAAGGCAAGAGCUAGAGAGAGCAGAGCAGCCCCUGUUACAGUGAGUCAGGCACCUGCUGUUGCCAGGUAACUGUGGGGUGGAGCUUAGACUGAAUGAGUAUAUUAGACCUUUUCCAUUACUUCCUAAAUAACACAGUACAACUGUUUAUAUACC